rnacentral:rRNA from 1 species
GUUCAAGCAGCCGCGGUAAUACGGGGGGGGCAAGCGUUGUUCGGAAUUAUUGGGCGUAAAGGGUUCGUAGGUGGCCGGCUAAGUCAGACGUGAAAUCCCUCAGCUUAACUGGGGAACUGCGUCUGAGACUGGUCGGCUUGAGUGCAGGAGAGGAACGCGGAAUUCCAGGUGUAGCGGUGAAAUGCGUAGAUAUCUGGAGGAACACCGGUGGCGAAGGCGGCGUUCUGGACUGCUACUGACACUGAGGAACGAAAGCCAGGGGAGCAAACGGGAUUAGAAACCCUGGUAGUCC